rnacentral:lncRNA from 10 species
CACAUCAGCAGUGGCAUUAGAUUCUCAUAGAAGCGUGAGUUCUACUGUGAACUGUGCAUGUGAGGGACCUAGGUUGUGGCUCCUUAUGAGAAUCUAAUGCCUGAUGAUCUGUCACUGUCUCCCAUCACUUCCAGAUGGGACUGUCUAGUUGCAGGGAAACAAGCUCAGGGCUGCCACUGAUUCUACAUAAUGGGGGUGCACCACCAGCAUCCUCCUUGGAAAUGCUGGCCACAGGUGCCCUGUGUAGAAGCACAAGUGAGUUGGUGAAGAGCGGAUCCCCACCACCAAGGACUGUGUGGAAGGAAUGAGUCCACAUCCCUGACUGAUUUGGCCGACUCCGUGUGUUCCCUGGGCUGAAGUGAGUGUCCUGCUGGACUCUACAAGGCCACCCUCAGCGUGUCAGUUUCUGGGAAAAAGGCCCUUCCUAGGCAUCACCUCUGGCCGAAGCCUGCCAUCCUAACCUUUGGCUCCUGGCUUCCAGACUUUCUGGGAAGAGAAGGGAAAGGAUUCCUGAUGAAGAGGAUCUAAGUCCCCUGAGGAGCCUGCAGAGCUAUUUCAGCCACACCAGUGUCACCUGAAUGGAUUUCUGAAACUCUUCUCUGGCAACUUCCAGUAGUUUCCAAGCAACCCAGAAGAACAGGUCUCAUGACUUUAGAGGACUCAUCUUUUUUUUUUUUUUUUUUCCUGGAAAAGCAUAGUCCCUGAUUUGAUAUCCAGUCUCAUUCACAACCUUGCACUGUGUCCUUGGGCCAAAGCUUUGGGCCCACUGAGGAAAAUCAAAAGAAUGAGCUGCCACCAAUUCCCAAAGAUACAUCUCCAAGAGGAAGUGGGGCAGCAGCACCGCCACCGGAACAAGUGUGGGUCUCUCAAGGUGAGUUCUCUGAGAGGGACAGUGGCAGGGUGGGGAAGGGACCUAGUCUAGUAAGUCAUGUUCACAGGGCAGGCAUCGCCAGGCUCUGUACACACAGGAUACACUGAAAUGACCAAACCCUGAUGCCAGGCCACCCACCAGAGCCCUCCCCACCUGUGGACAUGGCUGAAAAGAUCAGCCUCACACCAGGAACCAGAGAUAGCACCAAUGGGCCGUAUUUUCCAAAAGUGAGGCCUAGCCAAAGCUGGCAGUGGGCAGAUCUGACCCCACGUCAACCCGCCAAUCAGUUUUGAGUACAAAAGUUGCUGUGCAGAGUAGGCAUAUAACAUAUGUUUGCUGAAUGGGACAGAGUCUAUGAAAGAUGAAAGGUUUAUAAUGUAUUGAUUUCAAAUUUCAAAUUUUAUAACAGCAUAAAGUUGUCCCCCUUCCUUAAAUGGAAAGGCAAAGAGGAGAACAUAAAAAGAGGCCCAGCCUUUAGGUCUGACCCCAAAAUGAUUGAGAGGACCUACAGGCAUCUCUGCAGUCUACUGGUCACCGGCUUUGCUAUUACACAGAGGCUGAGAUUCCAGUCUCAGCUCUGCCAUUUUCCAGCUGCACACAUGCUUGGUCAGCUAGCCACUGGGAGAUGUGUCAUAAACAAAGUCAACCACGUCUCCCCAUCUUCCCAGGGCCUAGCUGUGGUAAGCAUGUACUUAAGGUGCCGAGGACGGCCCCUGGCAUGCAGAAUAUGCUUAAUAAAGGUCAGUGGCUGCUUCUCCAAAUCAAAC